rnacentral:rRNA from 1 species
GACGAACGCUGGCGGCGUGCUUAACACAUGCAAGUCGAACGGACAGGCCCUGCUUUUGUGCGUUUCUCGUUUGGCGAACGGGUGUGUAACACGUGUGUAACCUGCCCUUGUCUUUGUGAUAUCUUCAGGAAACUGGGGCUAAUACCGGAUAUGAUCUCCUGCUGCAUGUUGGGGGUUGGUAAGUUUCGGCGGUUGGGUAUGGACUCGCGGCUUAUCAGCUUGUUUGUGGGGUAGUGGCUUACCAAGGCUUUGACGGGUCGCCGGCCUGCGAGGGUGACCGGCCACAUUGGGACUGAGAUACGGCCCAGACUCCUACGGGAGGCAGCAGUGGGGAAUAUUGCACAAUGGGCGGAAGCCUGAUGCAGCAACGCCGCGUGCGGGAUGACGGCCUUCGGGUUGUAAACCGCUUUCGCCUGUGACGAAGAGUGAGUGACGGUAAUGGGUAAAGAAGCAACGGCUAACUACGUG